rnacentral:rRNA from 1 species
GUUGAACGCUGGCGGCGUGCCUUAUACAUGCAAGUCGAGCGACCGCACGAGUGCUUUGCUUUUCUGAUGUUUGCCGCGGAGGGGUGAGUUACAUGUGGAUAUCUCCUGUAUAAGACUGUGAUACCUCCGGGACACCGUUGCUACUACCUGCUAAUAUUGUGAAACGCAUGGUUCAAUUCUGAACUACGGUCUUGCUGUUACUCAUUGAUUGAUCCGCGCUGGAUUAGCUAGUUGGUAUGGUAACGGCCUACCAAGGCGACGAUGAAUAGCCGACCUGAGAGGGUGAUCAGCCACACUGGAACUGAGACACGGUCCAGACUCCUACGGGAGGCAGCAGUAGGGAAUCUUCGGCAAUGGGCGAAAGCCUGACGGAGCAACGCCGCGUGAGUGAUGAAGGUCUUCGGAUCGUAAAACACUGUUAUUAGGGAAGAAAAUAUGUGUAAGAAAAUGGGCGGAGGAUGACGGUACCGGAUCAGAAAGCCACGGCUAACUACGUG